CAUUUUAGAGAAGAGUCUAGUUACUUGGAUAUGAGCAUAUCUUUUGUACGAUCUAAGAAAUAACUAUAUAAUAAAUUAAAAAAACGUCAGUUGACAGAGAAGUUGUUAACUAAGCGUCACGGGUUUGUGCCCAUUCCCCCACUCAACUAUAAUUAACCCCUAGCUCUAAUCUCACAUAAAAUAAUCCAUUUGCGACUUCUUGUUAAGGUAACUAACGACUCUGACGAUGGCUGCGAUGAACAGUUAUUCUGGAAUGGCAUUCCAAACAACGAAGUGUCGAAUAACAAAGGCUUUGGUGACAGUAGAGAGGAUAUGAAUGCAAAUGUUCAGCAAGAACAGUCGGUUUCAACUAAUGUACAAACAUGUUGAGGUAAAUGCGUGUAAAAACCGGGGGCCUGUUGUAUAAAAACGUAGUGAAAGUUAACUACAAUUAGCGUUACCACCCGUAGUUAAAUCCUUAACUGUAGUUAAUAGUUAACUAUAUGACUUAACUGCGUUGCACAAAACGUAGUUACUUGGGUAGUACUAGUUACUUGGGCUUUAUUAAAUUAAGUAAUGGGUGAUUAACAACCGCUGACAAGCAUUUUUAACAUGUUUGUGGACUCGCAUUCUGCAAAUCCGCGGGAAUUUGAUUCACAAUAUUGGAAAAUAAACAUUCCGUGAGGUAUCACGUUAAACGGACGUGUAGCUAUUUGGAAAUUAUAUAUCAUGUUUCCUGGUACAAUGGGUCCUAAUUCUUGUUAGAGAAAUUGAUUUUCCCGUGCAAAUAAUAUAUUCUGUUUUCGCUAAAAGACCAAAGCGAUAUAGCAUUUUAACAGUUUUUAACUGCCAGGACUAACAUUCGUAGGGAUGAUAUAGCGAUUGACAAUCCCUGGUAAGUGUUUCUUUUCAUUACUGAAAAUGCUGUUCACUCCUAACUGCAGCACCAUUUUUAACUACGUUUUCAGGAGUCAACGAUACCCUUGCGCACAGUUAACUUUAACUACUUUUUAACUUCUUUUUAACUGCUGUUAACCCGACACUGAAAAUAGGUAUUUGAAAUGACAAUUAUUUAUUUGCAGUUACGCUUCCCUCCGUCAUGCAAGGUUGUCGAUAAUUAGUGCCAAAUUUAACCAAUUCAUGAUCAGAAGAAAUCACGAAUAUUAUAUCAAUAUUGUACUUCCCCACUAAUUCACAUAUCACGUCGAAAUUAAGAUGCCCGCCAAGCAUGGAGAUAGAAAUCGUUACCUUACCAGGGCCCCCGAGAGAGGGGAGGGCACUUUGACCAAGGCCCCCAACUCAAACAGACCUCCAAAGCAGAGAAGGCCCUUAAAAAUCCUUAGAUGCAUUCGUUAGUGUCGGAUAAUAUUUAAUAAAUUAUAAAUAUAUACUGUAUUGUAAAACACCGCUUCUCCCUUUUUAGAAUUAUGACGUCAUAGGGGCCCCUUUGGAAAGUUUUUCCCCAGGCCCCGCGCAACUCUGGGCGGCCUUGUACAUUGCAUUCGAUCAAAAUGACGACUGUCUGUAUCUAUACGUAUAGCAGGAAUGUUUAAAUGUAAAAAUUUCCUAUAAUUUCAUUAUUGUUUUCUUGUUCUUUUUAAAUUUUGAAAUAGAACUUGAAAGUUAUAUUUUAAAAUUUAUUCCAAUUUGCAUUCCAUUUGUGUGGUUUGCAAAUUGUUUCUUUUUUUUUUCAACUCCAAUUUAUUAUUACUUUCCAAUUUUAGAAACGUUUGCAUCGAAAUAGUUGCAUCCAUAUCGCUACCAACAAAAGCUUGUUUAUACAUGAAUUGAAUGAGACACCACAACAACUUCGCAGAAAUAAGCAACGUUAUUUCAUUUCGUUUAACCCUCAGUAUGAGUGCCAAAACCAACACAGGCACAAUUUCCUCAGCCAAAAGGUCCGUUUACACUUGCAUUUUUUGCUGCGAGUUUUAGGGCGAUAUUCUUCUUCUGAACGAUGUGAACGAGUAGACGAAUUAUUAAUGUUCUGAGUAUAUGUACCCUCAUCUGAACAUUCAUAACGCAUCCACUCGUUUACAUGCAUCAGAAGAAGAAAAUCGGACCGAAAAUCGCACCUAAAGUGUGAAUGGGUUUUAACUGACAAAUAUUUUCCACGUACAACCACAAACGUCAAAAACUUUUUAACAGAGACGCAGUUAUAUGACACAAUGUAAUCAGGGCCGUAGCUAAGCAUGCAUAGUUGGGGGGGGGGGGNNNNNNNNNNNNNNNNNNNNGGGUGUUGGCCAAAAAUUUCCGAAUGACGAAAGAAAUUUCCGAAUAUUUCAUGGCAUACGAAGCCAAGAAGGUGUUUGCUAUCCGGAAAAUGAAAACGCAAUUUACAAAAAAAAAUACUCAUAUUUUACGCAUAGGCAUAUUACAGAAGCGUGCAGUUCUGUAGGAAGUUCUUUUUUACAAGGGGGUGGCGAGGGCCGAAGGCCCGAGGAAAUUUUUAAAUUUAGAGCCUCUGAAAUGCCAUUUCGUGGACUUUGGGGGAAGUUUUGACAGAAUUCUGAUGGUCGUAAAACAGAGUUUUAGCAAGUGGAAAUUUACAAUUAAUUUACUUACAUUUUAGAAGAACUAAAUGGGCGAAGGCGUAUAUGGGUAAUAUGAUUCUUUGCGGUUUGUCAUGGGUAAUGUAGCCGCUUAAAAUUAAUCAAUUGUCAGUAUUUUAAAGAUGUAUUGAGGGCUGUCCCCCNNNNNNNNNNNNNNNNNNNNCCCCCCCCGUUGCUACAGCCCUGGGAAGUAAUAAACCAAAAAACAUUUACCGAUCUACGAUUUGUUAAAUGUUAUCCAUGUAAAUGCCGUGAUUUUGUAAAUCAGUUUAUGAUACUGACAAUACAAUUUGAUAAUAUUUUCUCUGUUUAAUUAAUUAAACAACUAAAAUUUUGUUAUACUAUUAUUGCCGUAAUUUUCCGAAUGACCAACCUGAUUUUCCGAAUAUGUUAAUUUAAAAAAGUUGGGGGUUACCCCCCCCCCCCAUACCCCCUUCGCUACGGCCCUGAAGGCCGUAAUGUCCAUCAUUACCGCAAUAACGUAAUAAUGCACGUAUAGUUAGGAAAAUCAACCACGGAGCUACCAUGGUGCCAGAGGCUCUUUGCGAGGCGAAAUAAACGAGAAGCGAGAACGGAGAGCGUCUGGCCACAUCGAUUGCAAAUCCCACUUCCACACUUGAUUAGAUUCAGAAUUUGAAUCUCGCAUGUGAUUUGCUAUUUGUAAAAAUAUGUCAAACUCGUUAGGGAAAUAAACAUUACGUUAAACUAAUUAUAGCCUGUAUUAAAAUAUUCUAUUAAACUCAACCGCAUGAAUAUUAAUACACCUAUCUACUGAGAAAUUUGAUACCUUUUUCAUAUGAGUAUUUUUAAUACACUUUAGCAUUAUCACCAAAGUUCAAAAUGUCUGAAUUCGACCGGGCACUUUAUCUAAUUGAAUCGUAUUUGGCUCGCAAUUUUGAUAACUUUAUCUUUCCUGCGGAAUCUCCGAAGUGUUGAAUCGGCUAUAAUUACACUGUAUAUAAUUACAUAGAUUUGGUUUAUUGUUGCAUGAUAUUUUUCAUAUUGUAUGAAAAAUUUGAUUAAAAAUGACUCCUUGAAAAAGAGUUCAUAUAGGCGUCCACACGAAGGGCUACCGUUUUAGCUCUUUAGAAACUGCAUGCGUAUUAGUUCCAAAAUUCUGCGAGACAGCCCCCGGAAGUGUAUAUUAUUAACCACUGAUUCCGAAUAUAUAUAGGAUCCAGCAAUUAAAUUGACUUUAUAAGUGAAUUAAGGUUUUCUUUUCAUUGCUCUUGUAGAAAUGAGGAUCGACAUUUGCAAGAUAUAGACAGUUCAACAUCUGGAGAUCUCUGCUCUUUCGUCCUUAUCGUGGGAUAUUAAGUAAUUAGUUUUUUUUAUAGAAUAUUAAGUUUGGUAAAAGAAAAUACCACGUUUUAUAUGCGUUGGUAUUGUAUGUAGUGUACUCGUGGCGCAUAAGAAAAGAUCGGCCAUGCUGUUAAUAUACGUUUAGUCUUAGAAUAAUAUUUACUUCACGUAAACAUGUUUGCUUAUUGUAUACUAGAAAUGUUUAAUUUUGUCAGAUUUGCAGCAAGUCAAUCGAUCGUACGUAUAUAGGCCUAACAAGAACGUGAGCUAUUCUGCUACUUAACAGUACUUUAAAUUUAAUUUCGUGCUUAAUUCUGUACUUUAGUUUUAAAACUCAUGUUCAUCUAACGUUUUCGUAUUCAUAAUAUAUAAG
rnacentral:lncRNA from 1 species